UGGUUCGUAAUGAGAGAAUGCAUUAUAUACGAAAAAAUGCCAUUAGAUAAACUUUUUUUUUAAUGGUCUUAUUUUUUGUUUGUUUUUGGCCCGUGUUUAAUUCUUUGUCUUAUUUACCGAUUUUUUUUUUUUUUUUUGGCAAUACACUCCUUAAUCCUUAUCCUUUUUGUAAUACAUGAUGCAAAUAUUUACAUAGAUGGCCCUAGAUGCCUCAUUUGUUAUAAAGUAUAGUAUUUUAUAUGGAUAAGAAAGACAAAACCAAAUAUAUUUGGUAUCUUAAAUUUUUUAAUACUAUUAUACCGAACAAAUAUGAAAUAAUUAAUUAUUAGCAUGUAUUGGGUCCAUAGCUCAGUG
rnacentral:lncRNA from 1 species